AAGGGGAAUCUGACUGUUUAAUAAAAACAUAGCUUUGUGUGUACGCAAAGUGAAUUCUGCCCAGUGCUUGGGACGUUAAGGAAGUAAUUUUAAGUACGCACCUGUAAACGGCGGGAGUAACUAUGACUCUCUUAAGGUAGCCAAAUGCCUCGUCGCCUAAUUAGCGACGCGCAUGAAUGGAGCAACGAGAUUCCCACUGUCCCUGCUCACAGAUUUGCGAACCUACAGCCAAUGGAACGGCCUUGGGACAUGCCAGCGGGGAAAAAAGACCCUGGUUGAGCUUGACUCUAGC
rnacentral:rRNA from 1 species